rnacentral:rRNA from 1 species
CUUUACUGUAGCUUUGUAUUGGACUUUGAACAGAUCUGUGUAGGAUAGGUGGGAGGCUUUGAAGCCCGGUCGCUAGAUCGGGUGGAGCCAACGUUGAAAUACCACCCUGGUGUGUUUGAGGUUCUAACCUAGGUCCAUUAUCUGGAUCGGGAACAGUGCAUGGUAGGCAGUUUGACUGGGGCGGUCUCCUCCCAAAGCGUAACGGAGGAGUUCGAAGGUACGCUAGGUACGGUCGGACAUCGCGCUAAUAGUGCAAUGGCAUAAGCGUGCUUAACUGCGAGACUGACAAGUCGAGCAGAUGCGAAAGCAGGACAUAGUGAUCCGGUGGCUCUGUAUGGAAGGGCCAUCGCUCAACGGAUAAAAGGUA